ensembl:lncRNA
GGAGACCACAGAGAGGAGCAGGGGGGAGUCAGGAGACCACAGAGAGGAGCAGGGGGAAGUCUGGAGACCACAGAGAGGAGCAGGGGGGAGUCAGGAGACCACAGAGAGGAGAAGGGGGGAGUCUGGAGACCACAGAGAGGAGCAGGGGGGAGUCAGGAGACCACAGAGAGGAGCAGGGGGGAGUCAGGAGACCACAGAGAGGAGCAGGGGGGAGUCAGGAGACCACAGAGAGGAGCAGGGGGGAGUCUGGAGACCACAGAGAGGAGCAGGGGGAGUCUGGAGACCACAGAGAGGAGCAGGGGGGAGUCUGGAGACCACAGAGAGGAGCAGGGGGGAGUCUGGAGACCACAGAGAGGAGCAGGGGGGAGUCUGGAGACCACAGAGAGGAGCAGGGGGGAGUCUGGAGACCACAGAGAGGAGCAGGGGGGAGUCUGGAGACCACAGAGAGGAGCAGGGGGGAGUCUGGAGACCACAGAGAGGAGCAGGGGGGAGUCAGGAGACCACAGAGAGGAGCAGGGGGGAGUCUGGAGACCACAGAGAGGAGCAGGGGGAAGUCUGGAGACCACAGAGAGGAGCAGGGGGGAGUCUGGAGACCACAGAGAGGAGCAGGGGGGAGUCUGGAGACCACAGAGAAGAGCAGGGGGGAGUCUGGAGACCACAGAGAGGAGCAGGGGGGAAGUCUGGAGACCACAGAGAGGAGCAGGGGGGAGUCUGGAGACCACAGAGAGGAGCAGGGGGAAGUCUGGAGACCACAGAGAGGAGCAGGGGGAAGUCAGGAGACCACAGAGAGGAGCAGGGGGGAGUCUGGAGACCACAGAGAGGAGCAGGGGGGAGUCAGGAGACCACAGAGAGGAGCAGGGGGGAGUCAGGAGACCACAGAGAGGAGCAGGGGGGAGUCAGGAGACCACAGAGAGGAGCAGGGGGGAGUCAGGAGACCAUAGAGAGGAGCAGGGGGAGUCAGGAGACCACAGAGAGGAGCAGGGGGGAGUCAGGAGACCACAGAGAGGAGCAGGGGGAAGUCUGGAGACCACAGAGAGGAGCAGGGGGGAGUCAGGAGACCACAGAGAGGAGAAGGGGGGAGUCUGGAGACCACAGAGAGGAGCAGGGGGGAGUCAGGAGACCACAGAGAGGAGCAGGGGGGAGUCAGGAGACCACAGAGAGGAGCAGGGGGGAGUCAGGAGACCACAGAGAGGAGCAGGGGGGAGUCUGGAGACCACAGAGAGGAGCAGGGGGGAGUCAGGAGACCACAGAGAGGAGUAGGGGGGAGUCUGGAGACCACAGAGAGGAGCAGGGGGGAGUCUGGAGACCACAGAGAGGAACAGGGGGGAGUCUGGAGACCACAGAGAGGAGCAGGGGGGAGUCUGGAGACCACAGAGAGGGGCAGGGGGGAGUCUGGAGACCACAGAGAGGAGCAGGGGGGAGUCUGGAGACCACAGAGAGGAGCAGGGGGAGUCUGGAGACCACAGAGAGGAGCAGGGGGGAGUCUGGAGACCACAGAGAGGAGCAGGGGGGAGUCUGGAGACCACAGAGAGGAGCAGGGGGAAGUCAGGAGACCACAGAGAGGAACAGGGGGGGGGGGGGGGGGGGUCGGGGGUGGUACUCUGGUUUUAGGGGUGGUGGUGGGGGGGGGGGGGGUCUCCCUCUAGUUCCAGACAGACUGGGUCCAUACUGA